rnacentral:ncRNA from 1 species
GUAAAUGCAAUGAAAAGAAGAGUAGUAAAAUAAACAUUCCAUAAGAGAGCUGAUGUAUGCUGAAAAUUAGCGUUUGUGAAUUUUAUGAAGAUGGUCUUAGAGUAUAUUUUCUGAGCUAUAAUAUAAAUUAGUUAGGAAAGUACGGGAGCAACCGUUAUAUUGUGAGGUGAUGAUAGUCACCUAGUGAGUUAUUUAUUGUGAAGUAAAUAAGAAGUAGAGUGGUAACGCGUAUAAUACGUCUCUAUA